GAAGGUGGCAAGCGUUGUUCGGAUUUACUGGGCGUACAGCGAGCGUAGGCGGUUCGGUAAGCCCUCUGUGAAAUCUCCAGGCUUAACCUGGAACAGUCGGAGGGGACUGCUGGGCUAGAGGACGGGAGAGGAGCGCGGAAUUCCCGGUGUAGCGGUGAAAUGCGUAGAGAUCGGGAGGAAGGCCGGUGGCGAAGGCGGCGCUCUGGAACGUUUCUGACGCUGAGGCUCGAAAGCGUGGGGAGCAAACAGGAUUAGAUACCCUGGUAGUCCACGCCUUGAACUAUGAAUACUAAGUGUCGGCGGGUUACCGCCGGUGCCGCAGCUAACGCAUUAAGUAUUCCGCCUGGGAAGUACGGCCGCAAGGUG
rnacentral:rRNA from 1 species